UACGUAGGGGGCAAGCGUUGUCCGGAAUCAUUGGGCGUAAAGCGCGUGUAGGCGGCCAGGUAAGUCCGUUCUGAAAGCCCGGGGCUCAACCCCGGGAGGCGGAUGGAUACUGCUUGGCUCGAGUCCGGAAGAGGCGAGUGGAAUUCCCGGUGUAGCGGUGAAAUGCGCAGAUAUCGGGAGGAACACCAAUGGCGAAGGCAGCUCGCUGGGACGGUACUGACGCUGAGACGCGAAAGCGUGGGGAGCGAACAGG
rnacentral:rRNA from 1 species